GUGGACACCAGCCAGCAUCCAGGGAGCAGUCACAGCUGAACACCAGCUCCAGUCCAGUGAUAGAGCACGUGCUUAGCGUCUGUGGUGCCAGAACCUCAAACAAACAAGGAAGCCACACGAUCUUACCUUCCUGAAACCAGUUUCGCACUAGACCCAGCGCCUCGGCGAGGACUAGAGACACAGAAAGAGCUCGAAGGCCAUUCUUGUUAAAAUGAUGUUUAUUGAAUGCCUACCUGAGAUGAAAUGAAAGUGUGGAGAGAAAAGAAAAACAGAAGACGUGGAUACAACUUUAUAUUCAAGUAAACCAGCAAUGGAGAGACCUGGGAAGCUGAAGUAGAAACUCAAAGGAGUUUCACCCUUUACAGGAAGUGUCUCAUUGCACUGUCUUAGGGAGCAUAUUAGUCAGGAUGGUGGCAGGCUCUGCUGCAGUAAGAAAUGGCCCACCAAGUGUUUGUGGUCUGCAAAGCAUGUAUUUCUUUUUUCCAAAUAUUUUUAUGUUGGUCAGGCAGCUCUUCAGGCCCCUUCAGGUUCCAUGAUCAAAGAUGAGAGAUCUUGUAAGUCUAACUUUAAUGAGUGAGCAGCUUCCUGGUCACUGAUAAAGUGGGAGAGCUGUUCUCUCCACUUCUAAUACUGCGGCCCAGCAGUUGUGUGCUUUCUCUCAAAGUCUAUUAACUGAGUAGGCCGGCUCUACCCAACUGCAAGGGGGCUGGGACAGUCUGGGGGAACAAGAGGAUAGACAUUAAGUUCAGUUCUCCAUUCAAGACUGGAGAUGAGUAGAAGAGGCCAGAUGCUGCUGAUAAGUCAGAAGGGAGAGAUUCAAAAGGCGAGGGAGCCGCAGGGGAGAGAGGGGGCUCAAUUCAGGGAGAGAGAGGAAUAGCAAGCCCAAAACGUGGCUCUGGGAAAGGCAGAGGUGAAGUGUGUGGUUCAAAGUCACAAAUCAGCCAGGGCCAGUCUUGAGGGACCUACCCCUGGCAGGCCUCCUAAAUGCAGAGAGAAUCUGUUGUGUAUUGUAUGGAUGCAUCACCUGUCUGUUUAAAACCUAUGCCUAUUGGAAAGGGUAAACAGACGGUGGGGCACCCAGAAGCCGAGAGGAUCUGGGAUAGAGCAGGUGUGGGAGACUCACCCAGGAAGAGGAGACAGAGGGAUGGGCCCUGAGCACAGGCACCCAGCCACGUGGCAGAAAGUAGCUCAGAAUAGAUGGGGUAUAUUAAGUUAUGACCUAGUCAGAGAAGAGCUUAGCUACAUGGCCAAGGUGUUUUUAAAAUCUGAUUUUUGAUUCUGAGUCUUACUUCAGGAAGCACAGGGCUGGGAGGAAGAACUAGACGUAGCUUCUACACCUACANNGAA
rnacentral:sRNA from 1 species